UAAAGGUACCGCUUCUACCCAUUUAGUGAAAUAGUCGGUUGCAACUAUAACAAAAGUAUGUUGCUUGGACGAUGGAGGGUAGAUCUUCCCUAUUAGAUCUAUCGCCCAACCUUUGAACGGCCAAGGUUUAAUAAUAGGUGCCAUCUCUCGCGCUGGCGCCCUUUGUAUUGGACCAUGCUUUUGGCAUGCUAACAACUUUUUGCGUACUGAACGCAUAGUUCUCCCAUCUUUGGCCAAAAAUAUCCACUCCUAAUAAUUAACCAUCUCAUCCUUUGGCCAGCUUGAUGAGCUCCACAUAUCCCUUCGUGCACUUCAGCCAUGAUCGUCUUGGCUUCUUGCAAACUUACACACUUUAGUAAUACACCAUCAGGGCGUUUCUUAAAUAACUCUUCG
rnacentral:lncRNA from 1 species